ACGAACGCUGGCGGCGUGCUUAACACAUGCAAGUCGAACGCUGAAGCUCAGCUUGCUGGGUGGAUGAGUGGCGAACGGGUGAGUAACACGUGAGUAACCUGCCCUCUUCUUUGGGAUAACGCCCGGAAACGGGUGCUAAUACUGGAUAUUCACUGAUUCUCGCAUGGGGGUUGGUGGAAAGGUUUUUUCUGGUGGGGGAUGGGCUCGCGGCCUAUCAGCUUGUUGGUGGGGUGAUGGCCUACCAAGGCUUUGACGGGUAGCCGGCCUGAGAGGGUGACCGGUCACAUUGGGACUGAGAUACGGCCCAGACUCCUACGGGAGGCAGCAGUGGGGAAUAUUGCACAAUGGGCGAAAGCCUGAUGCAGCGACGCCGCGUGAGGGAUGGAGGCCUUCGGGUUGUAAACCUCUUUCGCUCAUGGUCAAGCCGCAGCUUGGGGUUGUGGUGAGGGUAGUGGGUAAAGAAGCGCCGGCUAACUACGUG
rnacentral:rRNA from 1 species